CCCUCAGCCCGGCCCCCCGGGCCGCCGCCAUGGCGGGCGGAGCGCGCCGCCUGUACCGCCGCAUCCUGCAGCUGCACCGCGCGCUGCCGCCCGCCCUGCGCGACCUGGGCGACCGCUACGUCAAGGAGGAGUUCCGGAGGCACAGGGCGGUCGGGCCCGCCGAGGCGCAGCGCUUCCUGCGGGAAUGGCAGGCAAGUGGCCGCCGCCCCGCGGGGCAGGGACGCGGCCGGCAGCGGCGGGGCGCAGGGCGGGCCCGGCAAGGCAGGCUGCUUCUGCUCCAAAUGUUAAUGCUUUCUUUACCUCUAAGUGAAGACCAUGGCACUUGGCUGUGGAAGAACCUGUGAGGGUGCCAUAGCACAGUGCUGAGCUCACCUGACCAAACUUCAUGUGGUACAUCCCCAUUUCUGAAAGGUUUCAUGGCUCUGGUAUUUUCUUCACAUGCUUUUUAAAAUAUUGAGGUAAAUUAACUUCUAUUCCAGUCUGCUUGGGGCCAGACAGACUAUUUUUGCAGAAAAAGGAGAUGUUCUAGAACUAUGCAGCACUAAUCCAGCAACAAAUUAAUGAGGACAAACAAAACUUGAGAGAAAAG